rnacentral:rRNA from 1 species
AUAACUUUCAACAAUGGAUCUCUUGGUUCUCGCAUCGAUGAAGAACACAGCGAAAUGUGAUAAGUAAUGUGAAUUGCAGAAUUCAGUGAAUCAUCGAAUUUUUGAACGCAUCUUGCGCUCCUUGGUAUUCUGAGGAGCAUGCCUGUUUGAGUGUUAUUGAA